CGCUGGCGGCGUGCUUAAUACAUGCAAGUCAACUUGACUUAGAUAGCAAUAUCGAAAAGUAGGGUGGCGCACGGGUGCGUAACGCGUAGGUAAUCUGCCCUGAGGUCUGACAUAACCCGUCGAAAGGCGGGCUAACAUCAGAUGAUAUAUAAUCACGACAUCGUGGAAAUAUCAAAUCUUCGGAGCCUUGGGAUGAGCCUGCGUCUGAUUAGGUAGUUGGCGGAGUAAUAGCCCACCAAGCCUACGAUCAGUAGCUGGUCUGAGAGGAUGAUCAGCCACACUGGAACUGAGACACGGUCCAGACUCCUACGGGAGGCAGCAGUAAGGAAUAUUGCUCAAUGGGGGAAACCCUGAAGCAGCAACGCCGCGUGAAGGAUGAAAUACUUUGUAUGUAAACUUCUGUAAGAUGGGAAAAAUAUUCUCCUCGGGAGAAUUGAUUGUACCAUCAGAGUAAGCCCCGGCUAACUACGUG
rnacentral:rRNA from 1 species